rnacentral:tRNA from 1 species
GGGAUAUAGCUCAGUUGGGAGAGCGCCUGCCUUGCAAGCAGGAGGUCGGCGGUUCGAUCCCGCCUAUCUCC